UCUCUUUGGUCUUCAUUUUGAGGAAGUAAAAGUCSAUUCMAGGYUUCCGUAGGUGAACCUGCGGAAGGAUCAUUAUCGAGUUUUGACUGGGUUGUAGCUGGCCUUCCGAGGCAUGUGCACGCCCUGCUCAUCCACUCUACACCUGUGCACUUACUGUGGGCUUCAGAUCGUAAAACGGGUCCCUUUACCGGGCUUGCGGAGCGUGUCUGUGCCUGCGUUUAUCACAAACUCUAUAAAGUAUCAGAAUGUGUAUUGCGAUGUAACGCAUCUAUAUACAACUUUCAGCAACGGAUCUCUUGGCUCUCGCAUCGAUGAAGAACGCAGCGAAAUGCGAUAAGUAAUGUGAAUUGCAGAAUUCAGUGAAUCAUCGAAUCUUUGAACGCACCUUGCGCUCCUUGGUAUUCCGAGGAGCAUGCCUGUUUGAGUGUCAUGAAAUCUUCAACCUGCAAGCUUUUGUGGUUUGUAGGCUUGGACUUGGAGGCUUGUCGGCCGUUCUUGGUCGGCUCCUCUUAAAUGCAUUAGCUUGGUUCCUUGCGGAUCGGCUCUCAGUGUGAUAAUGUCUACGCUGCGACCGUGAAGCGUUUGGCGAGCUUCUAACCGUCUCAGUUGGAGACAACUUUAUGACCUCUGACCUCAAAUCAGGUAGGACUACCCGCUGAACUUAAGCAUAUCAAUAAGCGGAGGAAAAGAAACUAACAAGGAUUCCCCUAGUAACUGCGAGUGAAGCGGGAAAAGCUCAAAUUUAAAAUCUGGCGGUCUUUGGCCGUCACGAGUUGUAGUMYGGAKAAGUGCUYUCCGSGCUGGACCGUGUCAAAAUUUCUCCCUGGAUGGA
rnacentral:rRNA from 1 species